CCGCAUAGCGCAGUGGAUUAGCGCGUUUGACUUCGGAUCAAAAGGUCGUGGGUUCGACUCCCACUGUGGUCGCUCCUUUUUUUCCAAUUCGUAAUGGUUCAAAGCUUUCAGGGAAGAAUUGCUUUCUUUUCAUGUUCCUUUUUUGUCACUACCAUUUUUUCUAUUUUUGUUUAUGGUACAUUUUGGUCCUUAAACUUUUCAUUCAUUUAGGUUUUGUUCCCUAUAAUUUUAUUCUUAGGUAUAUAUUUUCUAUAGCUUCAUAUCAUUUAGGUUUUGGUCCUUUAGGAACCAAUAACUAGUUAAACUAUAUGGAUUGAUUCUUUGUAAAUGUCCAAUAUCUUAUUCUGCGCUGUCUGUGUUUUGUACUACACUUCAGUGCAAGUGAUCUUGGUGCACUACAACAACUCUUGGAUGAUCAACCCAAUCUUCUUACUUAGGAAGUUAUGGCUCGAGCUUGCUAUUGUGACUGUCAGUGUGAAUACAUGUUCAUGCUGAUUCUCGUUUGGAGUUAACUGGUGCAGGUUUGCAGCAAGUUUUGGUGGUUGGACUGCUGGGACUGGGGUAGCAGGUUUGAUGGUAUAUGGCAGGUCAUGUUGAAACUGAUCCUUGGUGUUGGUUUUGUGGGUUAUGCAUGUUUGGCAAAUUGGUUCUAUGGAAUUUGGCAUGCCAAGGUACAUGGAAGCUCAUGGUGUAUGCUUGAAUCAUAUGGUGAUGGAUGGACAUAAAGAUGAAAGAGACUUGAAGAUUGGAAUAUGAAUAGGUCUAGGGUGAUGUGUUGACUUUGGUCAAAUGUUUGACCAAUAAGUCAAUAGUUGACCAAAAGUGAGCUGUAGGUCAAA